UACGGAGGGUGCGAGCGUUGUCCGGAAUCAUUGGGCGUAAAGGGCGCGUAGGUGGCCCGGUCAGUCUUUGGUGAAAGCGCGGGGCUCAACCCUGCGUCGGCCAGGGAUACUGCCGCGGCUGGAGCACUGUAGAGGCAGGCGGAAUUCCGGGUGUAGCGGUGGAAUGCGUAGAGAUCCGGAGGAACACCAGAGGCGAAGGCGGCCUACUGGGUCAGUACUGACGCUGAGCCGCGAAAGCGUGGGGAGCAAACAGG
rnacentral:rRNA from 1 species